AAUACCGGAUAGGCAAUUAUUCCUGUAAUGGUUUUUUGUUUAAAUGUUUUUUCGCCUAAGGAUGGGUCUGCGGCCGAUUAGGUAGUUGGUUAGGUAAUGGCUUACCAAGCCGUUGAUCGGUACGGGUUGUGAGAGCAACAGCCCGGAGAUGGAACCUGAGACAAGGUUCCACGCCCUACGGGGUGCAGCAGGCGCGAAACCUCCGCAAUGUGAGAAAUCGCGACGGGGGGAUCCCAAGUGCCAUUCUUAACGGGAUGGCUUUUCAUUAGUGUAAAAAGCUUUUGGAAUAAGAGCUGGGCAAGACCGGUGCCAGCCGCCGCGGUAACACCGGCAGCUCUAGUGGUAGCAAUUUUUAUUGGGCCUAAAGCGUCCGUAGCCGGUUUAAUAAGUCUCUGGUGAAAUCCUGUAGCUUAACUGUGGGAAUUGCUGGAGAUACUAUUAGACUUGAGACCGGGAGAGGUUAU
rnacentral:rRNA from 1 species